GGGUUAUUAGCUCAGUUGGUUUAGAGUGUCUCGUUGACAUCGAGGAGGUCACUGGUUCGAAUCCAGUAUAACCCA
rnacentral:tRNA from 1 species